rnacentral:rRNA from 1 species
CCUACGAGUGGCAGCAGUGGGGAAUAUUGGACAAUGGGCGAAAGCCUGAUCCAGCCAUGCCGCGUGUGUGAAGAAGGCCUUCGGGUUGUAAAGCACUUUCAGUGGGGAAGAAAGCCUUGGGGCUAAUACCCUCGAGGAAGGACAUCACCCACAGAAGAAGCACCGGCUAACUCCGUGCCAGCAGCCGCGGUAAUACGGAGGGUGCGAGCGUUAAUCGGAAUUACUGGGCGUAAAGCGCGCGUAGGCGGUCUGAUAAGCCGGUUGUGAAAGCCCCGGGCUCAACCUGGGAACGGCAUCCGGAACUGUCAGGCUAGAGUGCAGGAGAGGAAGGUAGAAUUCCCGGUGUAGCGGUGAAAUGCGUAGAGAUCGGGAGGAAUACCAGUGGCGAAGGCGGCCUUCUGGACUGACACUGACGCUGAGGUGCGAAAGCGUGGGUAGCAAACAGGAUUAGAUACCCGAGUAGUC